CUCGGCAUCGGCUAGGCACAGGAGCUCUCCAGAGUUUGGGAGAAGAUAGGGGUGUUGAGAACCAAGGAAGGAGGCUGGGGAGGGAAGUUCACCCUUGCAGCUGAAGUCAUUCGUUAAAGUGCUAAUGAAGAAAGGACUAACGAGGAGACCUGACCUCGGUACCUUUUGAAAGAUGAUGUAGCUGCAUAGGAGUUAAUUUUCUUUCUUUUUCCUCUCCUUUUAUUUACUUGUUCUCCUUGAAUGCAAAAUCCACCCAUAAAACAGCAAGCUGUACAAGGUGGUUACGAGCCCGAUUUCAAGCAUGUCACACAAGUCUUGCUUUAGCAAAAUUCUAUCUCCUGCAGGGUGUUACAAAACCAUGCAUAUCUCCGCUCUUCCAUUCUGGAGAUAAAUAUUUUAUACAGACACUUUACACAAAGUCAAAUAAAACAAGAUAUAGGAACUUUUACACAGUGACUCAAACUGCUGUCCACCACUCCGGAACGGUGCUUUAAGAUUUAGCAGAUGUAGAGAGUGAUUUAUUUCUAACAAAUUCGAUCUGUGGCUCUGUGGCCAUAAUGCGUUUCAACGAGAUUUUUUUAAUCGCAUCUGUCAGGAAUUACACAGGUAUAGUCAAUCCAGCCUCCUGACAUCCCUUCCAGUUCUGUUUCCUGUAAUUCUAUUACCAUUUGUUUCUUAAUCUUCUCUUUUUCUACCCUAUCCCUCCCAUUAGCACUUUGAGAAAUGCUUUUGGCCCUGCCAGUGCCACUGUACCCAGGAAGCAUGGCAGCCAGUGACUGAUGGAUGCUUGCCUGCCAGCACACAGGUGCAAAUUAGGAAACCAGUUCAGCUUCCAGCCAACAGACUUUUGUUCCUGCAGCAUGUUGUGUCAUCAGUGGCACAGGGUUGGACGUAAACACUCAGGGCAUUAAAUGACACAUUUGAGUGUUCAGAUGCUUUUUGCCAAGUGUGAUUUCACACCUUGGGGAACACAAAAAAAAUUCUGUCAACAAAGCUCCAAAGAGCAACAUUUCCAUAUUUUUACUUACCACAGAAUCCCUUUCCUCAAAAGAAAAAUGGUAGCAGUGUGUGGUCAAAGUCAAUAAGCAUACUUCUUGUAAUCAGCUCUGAUACAUGAAGAAAGCAGACUUCCUUCCAGACUUGUAGGCUCGCUUAAGCCUGUCUCAUUACAGAAUCUGGGUAGGGCAUUAAGCCAUUUAAGAGGGGCCGGGAUGCUGUCCUUGCAAUGAAGGAGAGCAAAGGUUCCAUUCAGAAUGG
ensembl:lncRNA